UAUUCGUGACCUAAAACCCUAUCCACAUACCGCACAAGUACGGGUGGCCGAUGGAAACUUGGCUAAGAAUGAAGGAAUUGGUUGGGUUCAGUUAACACCCCAGAUUACUUUGUUCCCUGUUUUAUAUGUUCCUAAGUUACAAUGCAAUCUCCUCUUCAUUUGUCAGCGUACUUCUGAUCUCAAUUGCGAAGCUAAGUUUAGGUCUACUAGUUGCUUGUUGCAGGAG
rnacentral:lncRNA from 1 species